GGUAAAGUUGCGCCAACACUCCAGCCCCUGCGAUGGACGUCCUAUUGGCCGCAGCCCGCAGCCAUCAUGGAAUCCGAGCAAACCCUCGCAGCUACCGCCCCUGACACCGCCGUAGCCACCGCCACAGCUCCGUUCGAGACCGCAUCUCCGGCGGGCUCAAAGCGUGCCGCCACCGCCCACCGGAGGCCGCGAAACAAAGGCGUAGGCGCUAAAGAAGAUGCUGACAAAGGAGGAGAAAGGGGUCCAGGCCGGGAAGAUGGGGCAUGCGCAUGAAUCUUAAAGAGAGGAAAGACGGGGCGAUGGUGGCCGCCCAAAUGGCCUGGGAGAUUGAGGCGAAAGCCAACGACCAGGUAGGCCUUCAUCCUAGCCUCGCCGAGGCCAUGCUCUACGUCAAGCAAGAGAGGAUCGUCGCCAUCGCUCCCUCGCCAUCAUCGGUGAGCUCGGUAAGUUCCCUGAUGCGUCCUGGAAUGCCUUCCGCCCGUGCGCAGGUCCUCGUGGCGUCCCGGUUCGCGUCCGGCGCCGCACCAGUCCAAUUCAACGGGGCCCCAAUUCCUGACCUCAACCAGAUGCCGAGAAGCGGUGACUUGUGCCCAGCAGCGACACAAAAGACGCGAGCGGUACCGGAGGAGAACAUGCCGUUGCCUGUUUGAGGAAAUGCCACCAUCUGCCCCGACGAUGGACGACGCGGCCUAUUGGACGGGGCGCAGGGAGGGCGAUAUUGCGGCCGUGUUCUACGGUGGUGGUUUUUUUUGCGAAGGCGGCGUCGGGACAAGGACGCAGGAUCCCUGCCCAGAGAAGGAGGAUCAGUGAGCACACACACUGGAAAGGGCAUAACAGUUGUUCGUCACCUAGCCAACAACCGUCUGCAUCGAUGCCGACAAGGAGGCAUUGGGGCAUGAUGAUACCAAGAAGAAGGAGGAGAGCCAUUGGACCAACGACUUCGCCGACGACUAGGACAAAUGUUUGUGCGAUACGUGGCUCGUUACCAGCCAUGAUUGUAUAAACGGUGCCCAACAAAAGAGCAAGGUGUAGUGGAGCAAGGUGGUCAGGGACAGAGCUGCCUUAGUGCCACUGGUAAAAAUGUGCAAAAUCUUCACUAAUUAGUACUAA